rnacentral:lncRNA from 1 species
GGGAGCUGCCCCCUCCGUGCAUUCACCAACUUGUCCGUCCGUCCGCCCCCGGGGCACCACUCCAUCCACCUCCUCACAUGGCUGGCUUCCUCGUCUGCCGCCGCCACCACCGCUGCCUCCACUGCCUCUGGGGCCCCCCAUUCUGUCUGAGUCCCCACCCUGACCGUCUUCCCUCUUUCAGGUGGCCUGUGGGCCCGUUUGUGACCCACCCUGUGUCCCUUACCUGGGGAUGUACCUCACCGACCUGGCCUUCAUCGAGGAGGGGACGCCCAAUUACACGGAAGACGGCCUGGUCAACUUCUCCAAGAUGAGGAUGAUAUCCCAUAUUAUCCGAGAGAUUCGCCAGUU